UCUAAAAUGUUAUACAAAAGUUAGAGGUAC
rnacentral:piRNA from 1 species